rnacentral:lncRNA from 10 species
AUUUACUUGAGGGCUAAAACUGUCUUUCUUAGAUGAUGCUAUCUAUUAUUCUCAUAUACAGAAAACCAAGAGAAAUAGUUGAUUUAUUAACAUCAGAGUUCAGUAAGAUGGCUAGAAAUAAAGGAAAUACAUAGGAUUAAUAUGUAGGUAGAAUUAAUACACCAGUAACAGUAAUUUGAAAAGAUGAAUCAAGGAGCUGGUUUUUUGAAAAGAUAAACAAAAUAGACCACUAGCAAGACAAAUAAAGAAGAAAAGAGAGAAGAAUCAAAUAGACACAACAAAAAAUGAUAAAGGGGAUAUCACCACUGAUCCCACAGAAAUACAAGUUUUAAAUCAUUCUACUAUAAAGACACAUGCACACAUAUGGUUAUUGCAACACUAUUCACAAUAGCAAAGACUUGGAACCAACCCAAAUGCCCAUCAAUGAUAGACUGGAUAAAGAAAAUGUGGCACAUAUACACCAUAGAAUACUGUGCAGCUAUGAAAAAGAAUGAGUUCAUGUCCUUUGCAGGGACAUGGAUGAAGCUGAAAACCAUCAUUCUCAGCAAACACAC